GUGUUGUACGAAAGGAGAGACGGUUAGCACUCCCCUAGACAAGGAUGGAAUACACAAAUAUUGGUUAAGGCACUGCUGCUUGUCAGCACUUAACCACAUUUUUUAU
rfam:Zootermopsis nevadensis contig6886, whole genome shotgun sequence.